UACGGGGGGAGCAAGCGUUGUUCGGAUUUACUGGGCGUAAAGGGCGCGUAGGCGGCGCAACAAGUCACUUGUGAAAUCUCCGGGCUUAACCCGGAGCGGCCAAGUGAUACUGUCGUGCUAGAGUGCGGAAGGGGCUACUGGAAUUCUCGGUGUAGCGGUGAAAUGCGUAGAUAUCGGAAGGAACAUCAGUGGCGAAAGCGACUUCCUGGACCAAUACUGACGCUCAUGUGCGAAAGCGUGGGGAGCAAGCAGG
rnacentral:rRNA from 1 species